ACACGACUACAUUAGAUACCCCUGUAGUCCUAGCCGUAAACGAUACUCGCUAGGUGUCGGCCACGGUGCGACCGUUGUCGGUGCCGUAGGGAAGCCGUGAAGCGAGCCACCUGGGAAGUACGGCCGCAAGGCUGAAACUUAAAGGAAUUGGCGGGGAGCACAACAACGGGUGGAGCUUGCGGUUUAAUUGGACUCAACGCCGGAAAACUCAUCGGGAGCGACAGCAGUAUGAUUGCCAGGUUGAUGACCUUGCUUGACGAGCUG
rnacentral:rRNA from 1 species